GACAGAGGGGGCAAGCGUUGCUCGGAAUUACUGGGCGUAAAGCGCGCGUAGGUGGUUCGUUAAGUUGGAUGUGAAAUCCCCGGGCUCAACCUGGGAACUGCAUUCAAAACUGUCGAGCUAGAGUAUGGUAGAGGGUGGUGGAAUUUCCUGUGUAGCGGUGAAAUGCGUAGAUAUCGAGAGGAACACCUGCGGCGAAGGCGGGUUGCUGGGCUGACACUGACGCUGAAACGCGAAAGCUAGGGGAGCGAACGGG
rnacentral:rRNA from 1 species